rnacentral:misc_RNA from 1 species
AUAAUGCACAGAUCCAAAGGCAUAUAUAGAUUAAAGUUAUUAUAUCCAUUUAUUUUUAAUUGACAAAAAUCCGUUCCAUUCUUUAAUGUAAGACUAUUUACCAACGUUUCAAUCAAUCCACUAUGACACAGGAAUCCAGAACUCCAGCGUGUCCACCCGAAUUUCAAUGGAAUUCAACUUUAAACAAAUGUGUUGACUGUGUACCCGGUUACUACGGACUGCAAUGCUCUAAGUCCUGCGUAGCACCCUUCUACGGUGUAGGUUGUCAAAAACUUUGUUCAGUGUGUCCUAUAAGUCUUUGUGAUGUGUCCUAUGGUUGUCCACGUAUUACAGGUAAAACAUUCCUAAUCGCUAUACAUUUUCACGAUGCAUUGCUCAAUUGGAUACGGAAGAAAUUAAAAUAUAAAAAUUCAAAUAUUACUCCAGUGCUUGUUUUGAUAAUCAAUUACUAAUAGUUUACAACUCAGUUACAAUAUACUCAUAAAUUUCAGCAUGCUUUGAUCACUUACAUUAUGUAACAUGAAAACUAAAAACACGCACCAUAUUUCAAAAUUAUUAUAAACAAACAAAAAUAUUUUAAUUUUCAUAUGUUUUUCCAUUGUUCAUAACUAGAGGCCCGGAUCUCGACUACAAGUUUGUUGUAUAUCACUACAACAAUAGAAAACAUAAAAUCUUCCCUUGUGGGUGAAACGACCGUUACCAAAACCGAAUCUUCAUCCAUUGCUAGCAAAAGUAGUACAACGGUUAACAGAAAGCCAACAAGUUCUAUUAAAGAAAGUAGAGCGACACUAAACAGCUUAUUAGGCUCAACUACACCACCCCCAUCAUUUUUAAACUCAUACUACCCAGUUCUUUUGGGUAUUUUAGGGGUCUGUGUUCUGUUUCUGAUGAUUUUUACAAUUUAUGUAAGCAUACAUAUUCAUGAGAAAUGUUCACAGAGAAGACGAUCGUCAAAAACGAUCAGUAAUAUUUCAAUUAAGGAGGACAAUAACACUUACCAGGAAAUACACGAUUUUGAUACGGUAGGAAACUUGAUAAGAUAUGAUCCGUUUAUAGAAAGAACCACCCUGUCGGUGGAACAAUCAAAGCAAUCUACCACUAGAAGAGAUUACGUAGAUGCACCCAUUCCUGUUAAAGAGAAUACAUAUGGGCAUGAACCAAGUGACCACGACUAUAUAGACGUAAUACACGAAGAAGAUGUUAAGCAUACAUAUACUCACCCAGUAAAGAUCACUGGAAGUAUAAAUGAAGAACAUAACUCGAACACUCACUGCAAUAGUCCGCCUCAGGAUAAAGACGGUUACAUGCUGGCAAACAUUGUCAGUUCCAAUUCAUUAGUCAGUUCAAUUUCUGAGGAUAAGCUUGGAACUGUCUCUACCGCUUGUGUCAACGACAACACAUCACGUGAUAGUGAAAAUACUAGCGAUGGUUCAACAAAAGACUAUUUGACUGUUGUAUCAAGCUAAUAAAACAGACUAAGAAAGAAGUAUUUUGUUAUUUUACUAUUUAAACUAAAAACAUAAAACAAUGGG